rnacentral:tRNA from 1 species
UAGUAAGAAGCAAAAUAUUUGUAAUCAGUUUCGACCUGGUAGUUAGAUUAAUUGA